UCUCCUGCCUUGCCUAUCAUUCACUCCCCCAGGGCCCGCAAAAGCUUCUGCAUGCACCAUGGGGCCUGCUGGCUCCAGAGCGAGGGAGCAGCUCCUCUCCCCUUGGAGACACUUGUGUGUCGGCUUCCUCAUCAUACACUGAAUCCUGCCAUGCAGUACAGGGGAAAAAGGGGGCCAGGUACCAGUGCUGAUUUAAAGAAUAAAAUAAAUACAUAAAAAUGGGGACUGCAGAGAAAAGUCACGUGCAGAGGAGAAAUACCACAGCCCCAAAUGAGGACUGGAUCGAACGGGUCAAAGAAGGAACGGCAGCUGGACUGAACCAAGCUCAGCUCCUUUCACCUAAGCCCAGAGCAACCUCAAGAGCCUAACUGGAACACCAACACCAGGACUUCUCUGCAGAUGGGGGAGAUGAGCAUCCUAGCUGGGAGAGUUUUCUUUUUCUUUGAAAACCUGCCGGGGCAGUUCCUGCCUUUUGCCACACUGCGUUUUAUCUCGGGGUCAAGUUGUGUUGCUUUUGGCCAAAGACUGCUUGGAGACGAAUGCAUUCCUGGAAACUACGCUGUAAAUCCAAUUGUCAAAAAGCAAGCUCUGCUGUCCCAUGGAAACAAUCUUACUUUGAAUUGCAAUGGUUGGAGAGGGGGCCAGCAGGAGCCAACUUGGUGAGAUUAAGACUGAGCUAAAGGGACCAUGAAGCAGAGACAGAAAAGAAUGUGCUGGAAGAUCUGGGAGGUGGGGGAAGGCCAGGCAGACCCCACCCCCGGGACUGGGGUGCUUCCCCCUUGUGCCUCUAGCGUUGCUUUCAGCACCGU
rnacentral:lncRNA from 1 species